rnacentral:rRNA from 1 species
UACGUAGGUGGCAAGCGUUGUCCGGAAUUAUUGGGCGUAAAGCGCGCGCAGGCGGUCCUUUAAGUCUGAUGUGAAAGCCCACGGCUCAACCGUGGAGGGUCAUUGGAAACUGGGGGACUUGAGUACAGAAGAGGAAAGUGGAAUUCCACGUGUAGCGGUGAAAUGCGUAGAGAUGUGGAGGAACACCAGUGGCGAAGGCGACUUUCUGGUCUGUAACUGACGCUGAGGCGCGAAAGCGUGGGGAGCAAACAGG